AAGGAGCUUGCUCCUUUGACGUUAGCGGCGGACGGGUGAGUAACACGUGGGUAACCUACCUAUAAGACUGGGAUAACUUCGGGAAACCGGAGCUAAUACCGGAUAAUAUUUCGAACCGCAUGGUUCGAUAGUGAAAGAUGGUUUUGCUAUCACUUAUAGAUGGACCCGCGCCGUAUUAGCUAGUUGGUAAGGUAACGGCUUACCAAGGCGACGAUACGUAGCCGACCUGAGAGGGUGAUCGGCCACACUGGAACUGAGACACGGUCCAGACUCCUACGGGAGGCAGCAGUAGGGAAUCUUCCGCAAUGGGCGAAAGCCUGACGGAGCAACGCCGCGUGAGUGAUGAAGGUCUUCGGAUCGUAAAACUCUGUUAUUAGGGAAGAACAUACGUGUAAGUAACUAUGCACGUCUUGACGGUACCUAAUCAGAAAGCCACGGCUAACUACGUGCCAGCAGCCGCGGUAAUACGUAGGUGGCAAGCGUUAUCCGGAAUUAUUGGGCGUAAAGCGCGCGUAGGCGGUUUUUUAAGUCUGAUGUGAAAGCCCACGGCUCAACCGGGAGGGUCAUUGGAAACUGGAAAACUUGAGUGCAGAAGAGGAAAGUGGAAUUCCAUGUGUAGCGGUGAAAUGCGCAGAGAUAUGGAGGAACACCAGUGGCGAAGGCGACUUUCUGGUCUGUAACUGACGCUGAUGUGCGAAAGCGUGGGGAUCAAACAGGAUUAGAUACCCUGGAGUCCACGCCGUAAACGAUGAGUGCUAAGUGUUAGGGGGGUUUCCGCCCCUUAGUGCUGCAGCUAACGCAUUAAGCACUCCGCCUGGGGAGUACGACCGCAAGGGUUG
rnacentral:rRNA from 1 species